AGUGAUGAUUUCCUUCUCUUUGUUGUCGGAGUCUGAAGACUGCAGAGACACAAGGGUGGGGAAUGGUUAAAACUGUUACGCUGCAAAGGAGGAAUGCAAGUGAAGUGUACAGGGAACUGCUGCACUGGUCAGUAAGUAAGGCCAACUCCAGUUUCUUUUUUUCUGGCACAAAAGCUGGACAUGUGGAUGUGUCCUGUGCAUUAAUUUUUUCACGCAUAGGUUUGCUCUCCUGAAACUGCUCCUGAAUUCCUUGGAAAAUGUGCACGCUUGGGUCCUGUUCUACCAAGAGAAGUACUCAACUGUGACAUCUCUGACCCAUUAUACAAACCAGCACUCCAGGGCAAUAAUGUUCCCUUGUUGCACAAGAAAGCCUUUCAUGCCAAGAAACCCAUCAUGUAUCUCAGCAGCAGUAUAAAAAACAGACUAACAGCUGACCUCAUCUGUGGUUUGCGAAGCUGGAUAAAUGCUUCCGCAGGGAAUGGCAGUUUGAUCCAACUUUAACACGAUCUCUGACUCUGAGGUGCUACCAAUUGAUGCAGUCUCAUUUUCAUCCAUGUCCUCAGGAGGAAAAGGGUCUCCAAAGAACAUCAACAGGUCCACCAGCUUUUUAUCAUCUUGCUCUUGGCUGUAAAUUUCCCAGUCCAGGCGGAUGUCUGAAUUGAAAAGGAGAAAGGACAAUUAUUUCUGGUCAUUGAGAAGACUCAUAGCUUAGUUGGUACUGGAGAACCAGAAUACCAAGUAACAAAUUUGUGUUUAGCAACUGGAUUUGUAUUAAAGCAUAUCUUAAGCUUUCCAUGCUUGUUGUAAGACUGUGUGCUAUGCUCUUAUUAUAGCUUGUCCAGUCUCUAGGUCCUAAAUUAUACUUUUAAUAACAUUAAAGUAAAUUAUGAGUAUUUUGUUUGUUAAGCAAAUGUGUUUGGUGGCAUUCUGGGAAAAAAAGAAAAAAAAAAAGGUGAUUUACCUUUGCCGUGAAGAGCUUAAAAUCUCACUUGAGAUACAAAAGACUAAACACGGAUGAGUCAGAUGAUGCCACUAAGAAGCAGGUAGCACAUCUGAUUGACCAGGGUUAGUGCUGUGAGAGAUUUAAGAAAACAGGAUGGAAAACCCUGAAUUCCCAUCAUUUCAAUGAGCAUAAACCCAGGCACAUUAGGAUAGGAUGUGCAGUUUCAUAGUAACCACACAUUUGAGUCAAUUACAUAUAUUCUACUACACUCUGGCUGGAGCUUACCCGCUUUACUGUUCCAGAAAGCAAACUAAUAUUCAUGGCAGUAAUGCCAUAAUGAUAAAUACUACUAUGCAUAUAAAGACCUGACAACACGUAUUAUUGUUCUGUACUAGCUAAGUUAGAAAACAGCUUAGACACUCUCUUACAUACUACCAUUAUUUUUACAAAAACCAUCUUGACUAGGAAACAAGUAGGCCUGUUAAUUAACAUGUUAAUGGGUUCUUCUAUUCUUAUUAUCAUAAGGAGCACAACGCAAGUGUCGAUGUUUGCUGUACAAAAGUCAUUCUUACCAAAGGGAGUAGGAUUGUUGAGCUGGAUCCUCCGAAAGACAGGAGGCCCUCCAGAGACAUGAGUGCCAAACCUGAGGGGGGGGAACCUUGCUGUCAGUACAUGCAGAAAAUAAAAGUGAAUAUCUGAAAUCAUUAAAGAUUUGUUUAACAGUGGAAACA